rnacentral:piRNA from 1 species
UAUAUAUCUGGAAUUUUUAUU